CAAACUACUAUAAAGGCUAUGAGGUGGAUGACUUGGCUCAAGACGGCGACGAAGGGUGCGGCAAGCUGCAGAAAGCUCCGGCGAGGCGCACGCAGCCAUUGAACCGGAGAUCCCCGAAUGCGACUUCAGCUAUGAAUCCGAAAGGAUGGCUAACGCAGGGAAUUGAAACGUCUUAGUACCUGCAGGAAAAGAAAUCAACCGAGAUGCCGCUAGUAAGAGCGACUGAACACGGCACAGAGCAAACUGAAUCUUGCCAUGAAAGUGGCAAGAGAUGUGGUGUUGCAGGACUUUCUCUCGGCCCUAACUCGGGAACCUUAAGAGCGCUGGAAAGCGCCGCUAUAAAGUGUGAUAGCCACGUGAGGGCAACUGAGUGGGCUUGGAAGUAUCCUGAGUACCGUUCGCCGAAUACCGAACGGGAACCUGGGGGCAUCAACCUCCAACUCUAAAUACGUUUUGAGACCGAUAGGGGAUCCAGUACAGCGAUGGAAUGUUGAAAAGAACCCUUAGCAGGAAGUGAAAAGCGCCUGAAACCUCAUAGCCAUGGAAUGAUACGGCUUUUAGGAGUUGUAUCGUACGUUUCGAAUAACGGGCCAGGAAGUGCAUCUGGGUGGCAAGGGUAAUCCCGCAGGGGAGGACCCGCAGCGAAAGCAACACGCGCGCACGCGAGGAGGCGCGAGGUAUGAAAGUGCCUGGAGUCACCCGGAUGCGACCCGAAACCAGGUGAUCUAGCCCUGAGUAAGGUGAAACGGGAGUAAUAUCCCGUGGAGGCCUGAAGAGGUUCUGUGGACAAGCGUUCUUCUAACUUGGGGUUAGGGGUAAAAAGCCCAUCGAACCUGGUAAUAGCUGGUUCCUACCGAAGUUGGCCGUAGUCAAGCCUCGGCAGAGGUCGUGGAGAUGGUAGAGAGACGGAUUUGGGGCUUAGGUUCCGAAAGGGAUCGGCCCCUUGUCCAACUCCGAAUGUCUUCAUGCCGUAGAAGCCGAGAGACGGGGAGUCUUGGGGUAAACUUGACUUCCGAUAGGGGAACAACCCAGACUAUGGUUAAGGUCCCUAAAUCAUGACUCAGUGUUAACGGGUGAAAGGUGUCUACUGUCAUAGACAGCGAGGAGGUUGGCUUAGAAGCAGCCACCCUUUAAAAAGUGCGUAACAGCUUACUCGUCAAGACGAUAGGCCCUGAAAAUGGUCGGGGCUAAGUCAUGUACCGAUACCAUAGACCGCCGCAAGGCGUGUGAUAGGUAGGCGUCAUGCUCGGGCAGAAGCGCGCUCGGGAGAGCGCGUGGACCGUGCAUAAUUGAGAAUCCUGGCGGUAGUAGGACCUUAGUGCUGUGAGAAUCAGCACCACCGAAAGGGCAAGGGUUCCUUGGCAAUGCAGUUCAGCCAAGGGGUAGUCGAUCCUAACCGAACUCCCAAUUGGAGGGAAGGGAAAGGGAAACCGGUUAAUAUUCCGGUACUGUUCCUGUAUGCGUGGCGACACAGGCCGUGUUUCCGACGCUUCCGGGUAGUCCGACACAUAUCGUCUUGUGUGUCAACUGAAGUACAUCAGAGGAGAGCCGUAAUCGCGAGAAUCUGAUGAAAUUCAGGACGAGCAGCCUUAUGGGCUGUUCGGAUGAUCCCAGGAGCCCGUGAAAAGGGAGCAUGGAUAAACCAGGAGCAAUCGUACCCAGAACCAGCACAGGUGCCCCUGGGUGAGAAGCCUAAGGUGUGAAGGAGUUAAUGUAGGUAAGGGAACUCGGCAAAAUAGCUCCGUGCCUUCGGCAUAAGGAGUCCCUGCGCUCGUGGACGCAUGUCUGCGAAUGCAGGGUGCAAUGACUAGGGGGGCCCGACUGUUUAACAAAAACACAACUGACUGCGAGGCCGCAAGGCUGUGUAUAGUCGGUGACGUCUGCCCAGUGCGUGUACUUCAAACCCGGGUCCAACCGGGCUAAGAGCGCGUAAACGGCGGGGGUAACUAUAACUCUCUUAAGGUGAUGUACGUUGCCUUGAGACCCAAUUGUUAAACAGAAAUGCCGCGCAAGAAGAUGGGAUACCAAUCUGGCCAUUUGCUGGGAACGCUCGGUAUCUUUGGGUAGGACACUUCAUUGGCGACAAUGGGGCAACAACUGAAAAUCCCAAAGUGGAGCCCAUCAGCAGGAAAGGCUUCUUUAACGAGAAGAAUCCUCAGAGACUGUAUGCCAGACCGCGUAAGCGGAAGAUACAGUCCGAACAUGGCAGCGAUGCCAUGAGGUCAGCAGAAAUGCCUGAUCCGGUUCCUUGAAAAAGGAGCCAGUAACAACAUCGAGCGUAAUACCUUGUCGUUUGAUUGACGACUUGCAUGAGUGGCGUAACGAGGUCCCCACUGUCCCUACCUAGAAUCCUCCGAAUACUCCCUUCUGGUGCAGAGGCCAGAGAUUUCCAGUGGGAAGCGAAGACCCCGUGAAACUUUACUGUAGCAUGUUGUUGUGGUGCGGGUUCCGGUAUGUAGCGUAGAUGGGAGCUUAGCCAAUCGCAAGAGAGGCGGUAACGAUGAAACACCAUUUUCCGGGAUCUGCACUGCUCACCUCGAAAGAGGGACAGCAGCUUGUGGACAGUUUGGCUGGGGUGGCACGCUGUUGAAAAAAUAUCAACAGCGCCCAAAGGUUGGCUCAAGGGGGUCAGGAAUCCCCAGUAGAGUGCAAGGGCAAAAGCCAGCCUGACUGGCUUGCUAACAAGAUGCAAUCCAGAUGCGAAAGCAGGGCCUAGCGAACUCCUGUGUCCUCCUUGAUGGGGGCCAGGAAUGACCGAAAAGUUACUCCGGGGAUAACAGAGUCGUCUCGCCCGAGAGCUCAAAUCGACGGCGAGGCUUGCUACAUCGAUGUCGGCUCUUCCUAUCCUGGGCGUGCAGAAGCGUCCAAGGGUGCGGGUGUUCACCGAUUAAAAGGGAUCGUGAGCUGGGUUCAAAACGCUGUGAGGCAGUUUGUUUGAUAUCUACUGGAAAUGCACAUGUCUGAGAGGAAGGAGUUCCUAGUACGAGAGGAACGGAAGCUUCGGCGCCUCUGGUCCACCGGUUGUCCGACAGGGCAAGCCGGGCAGCUACGCGCCACGGGAUAAGCGCUGAAAGCAUCUAAGCGCGAAACCCCCCUCGAAAAGAGACAU
rnacentral:rRNA from 1 species